AGGAGACCCCAGUGUCUACAGCAGCACCCAGGGUGUCUACAGCAGCACCCAGUGUCUACAGCAGCACCCAGGGGUGCUACAACAGCACCCAGGAGGAGACCAGCGUCUACAGCAGCACCCAGGAGGAGACCAGUGUCUACAGCAGCACCCAGGGGUGCUACAGCAGCAUCCAGUGUCUACAGCAGCACCCAGAGUCUACAGCAGCACCCAGUGUCUACAGCAGCACCCAGGGGUGCUACAGCAGCAUCCAGUGUCUACAGCAGCACCCAGAGUCUACAGCAGCACCCAGUGUCUACAGCAGCACCCAGGGGUGCUACAGCAGCACCCACCCAGAGUCUACAGCAGCACCCACCCAGUGUCUACAGCAGCACCCACCCAGAGUCUACAGCAGCACCCAGAGUCUACAGCAGCACCCAGAGUCUACAGCAGCACCCACCCAGUGUCUACAGCAGCACCCACCCAGAGUCUACAGCAGCACCCAGUCUGCAGCCGUCCACCGUGGAGCCUUCACUACCAUCAGAGGCAUCUAUCCAAAGGGACUGACCGCAGGUCAUUAAGGAGAGGGAGGGGUCCGGGGGAGGGGUCAGGGGUCAUUAAGGAGAGGGAGGGGUCAGGGGUCAUUAAGGAGAGGGAGGGGUCAGGGGUCAUGAAGGAGAGGGGGGGGUCCGGGAGGGGUCAUUAAGGAGAGGGAGGGGUCAAGGGUCAUUAAGGAGAGGGAGGGGUCAGGGGUCAUUAAGGAGAGGGAGGGGUCAGGGGUCACUAAGGAGAGGGAGGGGUCAGGGGUCAUUAAGGAGAGGGAGGGGUCAGGGGUCAUUAAGGAGAGGGAGGGGUCGGGGGAGGGGUCAGGGGUCAUGAAGGAGAGGGAGGGGUCAGGGGGACGGGUCAGGGGUCAUUAAGGAGAGGGAGGGGUCAGGGGUCAUUAAGGAGAGGGAGGGGUCGGGGUCAUUAAGGAAAGGGAGGGGUCGGGGGAGGGGUCGGGGGUCAUUAAGGACAGGGAGGGGUCGGGGGAGGGGUCAGGGGUCAUGAAGGAGAGGGAGGGGUCAUUAAGGAGAGGGAGG
ensembl:lncRNA